CUUCCUGUUUACUAACCGCGGGAUGAUUUGUGUGUGCUUGUUAUAUUAUGGUGAAAGAUAGCCGUGCUUUGAUUCUGCAUGCACAGGGAUCAAAUGAACACCUGGAGAAAAAAGUCAGCUGAACAGAAAGAAAAUGUGAUUUGUGGUGAUGUCUACCUUAGAAGACAGUGUAACUGCCUUAAUCAAACAACUUUGUGUGUUGCAUGCAAAUGACCCACGGAGGGCUUUCCUUAAUCAGCCUACUCAUUCAAAGUCUGAGAUACAGAAACGACUCAAGAGGAAAGCAUAUGAAACAAUAUUUGCCUUUCUUGUUGGACCAAUAAGAUGGCAGUGGCAGAUUUCCUUACAGAACAACCAUGUGGAGGAUGAACGUGUCCAUAUCCUUAGCUAUGCUUUUGACCUGAGAUGUAAGCGACGGUACGAUGAUGCAAAUCGACUCGAAGAAUUGCUGGAAAGUUUGGUUAACAUCAGUAACACUGAUGUCAGUGAGGACAAAAAAGUCUGCACAUCAGAAAAUGAACCUGAUAUGCGAUCCAUCCUUAAAUUCCUGGUGCUGUUGGCCGACACGGGUCCACAAGAGAUCAGAGAUGUCAUGGGGUAUGAGACACAGCAUCUUCCCAAAUCGGUAGACAAGGUGGAGAUGGGAGUGUUACCCUCAGGACCUAUGUUGUAUGGAGAUACCAGUGUCUACAGACCUGACCACAAGUUCUACAUGCACUUCCCAAGUUUGCUGUUUGAAGCAGAACCACUGCAGUUUGAAGAUAAAGGGCUUCAGAUCUUCUGUCUUUCUCCUGGGGAGAGUUUGUCUGGGCAGGGUCUCUUUAAUGUCAAGGGUUACCUGGGUGACAGCUAUGAGAAGCAGUGUAGUGGUACACUGUUUGGCGGACUGGUACAGAGCCAGAUGGUGUCGCUACAGGACAGAUUACAGUUACCCGACUUGGCAGAUCCAGAAGACAGUGGAAUGUUUGAUGUCCGAAUACCCAAAGUUCUGUCUGGCACCAGAAGUCAGUCAACGGUAGAAGAUGACAGUGCUGUCCACAGUUUGGAUAUGACUGGCAGUACCCAGCUACCGCAGCUGGAAGGAUCCAAGUCCCUUAGCUACAUCAGUGACACAGACUCUGCUGUGGGAUGCUCCAUUUGGGAGGAAGCACUUGAAUUCACCCUUAGUAAAUACUUUCAAUGGGAAACACGAGGUCGUGAGCCCGGAACCACACUAGACCUCCCAUACCUAUCUGAGUGCGGGCCCACUGGCCUAGACAUGUGGAACAGCAUGAAGAUGAAGGAACUGUCAAUCAUGUGUCCAUCAGUACCACUACCGACCCUACAUGUAAGGAGUGAGAGGAAUGUUGUCCGAGACAUUAUCAAUGUGAUGAUUGGAAUACCCUCUACCACCUACCAGCUUAUUCCUGAAACUCAAUCCUUUGAGAUGCUGGAAGGGGUCUACAUCAGUGGAAUGACACCAGAGUGUCUUCGUCGAGUCUCGCAUGAUUUUUUGGUGUGUGGUACAUACUACAACCAUCUAGUGCAGUUCUCCUUGCCUCCAUUCGUCGACUCGUUCUACAGCAAGGGUCUUGUGUACCAGGCUUAUUGUGGGGCCAUACGGAAGUACCUCCAGCAUUAUAGAGGUGUAAUACUGUCAAUACCCCAAACCAUGUCGUUAUUGCGUCUCAAGUUUAUCUGCCAGAAAAUCUUCAACCAAAUAAGAUUUCUUGCAAAUUUAUGCAAAUGUACAACUAUGGAGGACCUACUAGAUGAGGACAAUUUCCCAACAGGUGUGAGUCUGCUGAGCUACCUGUAUCGAGAGUGUCUGGAAUGUUCCAGUACUGAUCACUACCCAAUGAUGAUGUCCAUCCUGCAGUCAUCAUCUGGACCCUACACCCUGUUUGUACAGGACUGGGUGUUUCACGGAAUUUGUCAGGACAUCUAUGGAGAGUUCAUGAUAGAAAUCCAUGCAGACUACCUACAAUUCAGAGACAAGAACUACUGGGCGAAUGGUUACAAGAUGAUGACCAAAAAAGAGUCCGAUAGUGUACCACUGUUCCUCGCAGACCUCGCCUCAGAUAUAUUCAUCUGUGGCAAGUCCAUCAAUCUCCUCAAGGCGUGUUGUUCCCAGAAUUUUCUGUGUAACAUAGCUGACAUUGACAUACCCAGGAUAUCGGUCACAUUCUCGGAGGAGGAACUUGGUAAUCUAGAUGGCCAGUGUCAGUUUUAUGUCAACAAAAUGAAGCAAAUAGCACGGCAGUUGACCAUCUCAAGAAAACAGAAGGAAGAGAUGGAAGAGGCUGCAAAGAAAGAUAUGUUACUUAAGGCAAAAGAAGUGGCCACGCAGGAGAUACAGAAACUACAGAGUAGAAUACAGGAGAACCGAAGAGUCCAGGACUCAAAGAAAAGGAAACAGUUCCAGUUCCUUAAGGAUCAGAUGGAAGCAGACUUACAGAGAAGAGCAAAUGUGAAAGAGCAAGUAAAGGAAGAGGACAAGAUGAUGAUAGCUAGGGUGAUGAAGGAGGAGGAUACCAUGACAGCUCAUGAGCUAGAGCUGGAAAGGAAAGCCAGGGAAGAGUUAAUAGAAUACUACAGCAAGCUGAGUGAGGAGGCAACCCUGAGAGAACAGCGGGCAUUGUGGCAUGUCAAACGAGCCCAGUUAGACCAGAGCAGACGUGACUUUCUACAGCGGGAUAGUGUACACUGGCAGGCAGAACUUGAGAAGGCUGCUAUUGUUACGGAAUCCAUUACUGCACAGAAGCCAGAAGAUAUAAGUACAGACACAGCCCUUCUUCCAACCUUGGCAGUGGGAGAAGGGAGAGGCGGACCCACUGUUGUGAGUGAUGAAGGCGACGCCGAUCUCCCUGGAUGGGCACAGCGAGGACUAACAAGUACUAGUACCCUAACUGUUGACUCCAGUAUGCCUGCCUGGGCUCAACAAGAGUUACCAGCGUCAGACACAGAAGGAAGAGAUUUAACCCCAGGGAAGACCAAGUCCCCUCGCCGCUCCCUCCCUUCUCCUCCAUCCCGCCCAGCAGGGCGACCUUCCACACCCACACUGAAAAGACCUCCAACUCCGACCUUAAAAACUGGCAAACGCUUGAGUGAUACAUUUUACGCAACAGCUCAAACUGAAGAAUGUGCUCUUAAAUCAAGUAUUCAUGUUUUCCCAGAAAAACAUGCUACCACAGAAACGGACCCAGAUGACGUACACAAAUCACAAAUUAAGCAGGUGCAAAAUAUCAGUGUUAACAUGGAGAGUGAAGAACAACAGGAGUGCUUACACAUAAGAAUGGCGGACGGAAUGCAUGCCACCAAAGAGACAGAGUCACAUGAGGAAGUGGUGCCCCACAGAAAACCUAACAUGGAAAUGAAUAUCAACAAACAAUCAACAGAGGAGAGGCAGCUUCCUCGCAUGAAGAAAAAUGCAGAAAUGCAUGGUACAAAACAGACAGAAUCAACUGAGUGGCUCAUAAAAAAACCUAGCACUUUUGGUCAGGUGUCAAAAAUGUCUGCUUUGGGGGACGAAUUUGUGAUCCAGGCUCCAAGACUGAAAAAGUUUGAACAUUUUCAUUCUUCUAUGGAAUCCAAAUUCAGCAAAGACUUCGGAAUUAAACCCCGAAUCAGAAUGAGUAAGACCAUGUCCUCAACCACCGAGUCUAAAUAUGUAGAGGACAGUAGGCCCAGAAUCAAGAUGGGUAAAAUGUCUGCCUCAAUGGAGAGCGAAAGGAUUGAUCAUGAUGAAAACAGACUUGAGAAAUUUAAAUCUUUGAAUGUGCAUGGUCAUUCAUCAGACUCAACUGUUCAGAAGCUGUUGUAUGGUGACAGAAAAGCCAUGCAGGAGGUCAAGGAGCAAGAACUUGGUGACAUCAGAGAACCCCCUGUUUGGGCUGACUCACCCGCCACACAAAUGUUCACAUACGAGGACAACUUUGAACACUUAACUAAUACACCUGUGGUCGAUCUUCUCUCAUCAAAGGAAUUGUCUGCAUAUGGCAGGUUUGGUGACUACGGUAUCAGCCAGAGUGCUGACGUGGAUAUGUACCGCUACAUGCCUCUUCCUCAGCUGCUGGAGCGAUCCGUCACUGCACCUCUGUUAGCUCAGAUCUCGCUGGUAAAUGAUAAUGUGAUCAACUACUUCACUGUGGAUAUGGAGAUAAAGAACCACUUCAAGGCUCUCCGACGCUAUCUGUUUAUGGGAGAUGGAGACUUUGCACAAAUCCUUAGUGACAUUCUUCUUGAAAAGCUUGCCAAUAGUCCAAAGGCACAAGAGAUGUUGAACCCCGUAUUUUUGAACAGUGCUCUCAACAAGGCCCUGAAGUCGUCCAUGCAUGCUGAUGAUCCAUUUGCAGACAACCUCAGUUUUGCCUUACGAUACGUCCCUAAAGUCCUGAUGCAGAAUGCCUAUGACACUUUAGACUGUUUAGAGCUACGAUACAAGGUGACCUGGCCACUGAACAUUGUAAUAACCGACUCCUUGAUCAGCAAGUACAGCAAGGUCUUCUCCUUCAUGCUUCAGCUGAAACGCACAGUGUGGGUCCUAAAGGACGUCUGGUACAGACUCAAACGUGAUGCUAUGGUUCACAAGGCGGGAGGCUCCUCACACUUUCGUCAGCUACAGCUCCAUAGGCAGGAGAUGCAGCACUUUGUAAAGGUGAUGCAGGGUUACAUAGCUAACCAGGUAAUACAUGUUACCUGGUGUGAGUUUACCGAGGCACUCAAAAGCGAUGUCCACAACCUUGAUGACCUACAUAAGGUCCACUCCAACUACCUAGAUAAAGCCAUAUUCAGAUGCUUACUGAACAAGAAAGCUGGGGCAGUGAUGAAAAUCAUACAGGACAUCUUUUCUCUUAUCCUGAAAUUCCGAUUACAACUGGUUAAUGCAGAAUGGCAAUAUGAUGAGGAUACAGGAAAUCUAGCUCAUUCUAACUUCCAGAGUAUGGUGGCAUCGUACAAAGCUUUUAGAGAGUACUCAGUCUUUCUUUUCAAGGUCGUUAACAAGCUGGCCAUAAGAGGAUAUCAACCCCAUUUACAGGAACUGUUGUUACGUCUCAACUUCAACGACUAUUACAAGGCACGAUAAAUGUCAAUUACAGGAACUGUUGUUACGUCUCAACAUCAACGACUAUUACAAGGCACAAUAGAUGUCAAUUACAGGAACUGUUGUUACGUCUCAACUUCAACAACUAUUACAAGGCACGAUAGAUGUCAAUUACAGGAACUGUUGUUACGUCUCAACUUCAACGACUAUUACAAGGCACGAUAGAUGUCAAACGUACUAUUACACUUAGUAUAGGACUCCUAUUGAUACACAGUGGUCAAGGAUAGCUGAUCUUGGCGACACAUUUUAUGUCAAAAAAUGAAUAAUAAAGUAAUACAUGUACUCCACAUUGUGAUGCUGUGUGAGUUGAGGACAACUCAACAUUGUGACAAACUGUGGGUCGAGUAAAACUCUGCAUUAAAACCCACUAAGGUUCAAGAAAAACUCUCAGCAUGCAACACCGAGGGUCAAGGACAACUUACCAUGGUGAAAAACAGUGCCUCAAGGAAUUACUGGUAAAGUUCAACUCAUCGAAAUGAUAAAAAGGAGGUCAAGGACAUCUCAGCAUUGUGACACACAAGGUCAAGGACAACUAACUGUAUAGGGAAACACUGAGUGAAAGAAAACCCAUCAUAAAGACAGACUGUCAGUGGUAAAUCAUGACUGUAAUAUACCGAGAUGAAGGAAAACAUACCACCUAUAGCUUAUAGUAUCCUAACCCAUAUGUUUAGGUAUCAAGUUUGAUGGAUUUAAAAGUGGUUUAUGUUCCUGGAUUGAGUGCUAUGUGGAAAUAAUAACAUCUGAAGCUGAUGAAAGAACAGUUUCUCUCAUAUGCAGUCACUUAAUAUUGAUGUUGAUGAAGCAACCUAACUUGUAAACUUUCCAUAAACUGUGAUAGCUCCAGCCAUUUAACAUGUUGAACUGUCAAUAUAUAUGGCGUGGAGAAAAUUUAUGCAAAAUGUUAUAGAAGAAUGCAUUUAGAUUUAAUAAAUAAAAUAGAUAUAUGUUU
rnacentral:misc_RNA from 1 species